rnacentral:rRNA from 1 species
GGGGGGGGGGGGGGGGGGGGGGGGGGGGGGCGGGGGGGGCGGAGGGGCCCGGGGGGUGGGGGGUGGUCGAGGGGGGGACGGGUGGGUGGGAGGUGGGUGGGCUGCCGUUGACGUUGGGAUGACGUCUGGAAACUGGGGCUAAUACCUGAUCGGGGCUCCUGCGGCAGGGUGGGGGUUGGAAAGUUUCGGCGGUUGGGGAUGGACUCGCGGCUUAUCAGCUUGUUGGUGGGGUAGUGGCUUACCAAGGCUGUGACGGGUAGCCGGCCUGAGAGGGUGACCGGCCACAUUGGGACUGAGAUACGGCCCAGACUCCUACGGGAGGCAGCAGUGGGGAAUAUUGCACAAUGGGCGGAAGCCUGAUGCAGCAACGCCGCGUGCGGGAUGACGGCCUUCGGGUUGUAAACCGCUUUCGCCUGUGACGAAGCGUGAGUGACGGUAAUGGGUAAAGAAGCACCGGCUAACUACGUG